GGGCCCGCACAAGCGGUGGAGCAUGUGGUUCAAUUCGACGCAACGCGAAGAACCUUACCCAGGCUUGAACUGCGAGUGACAAGCUCCGAAAGGGGCCUCCCGCAAGGGCACUCGUAGAGGUGCUGCAUGGCUGUCGUCAGCUCGUGUCGUGAGAUGUUGGGUUAAGUCCCGCAACGAGCGCAACCCUUGUUUGCUGUUGCCAUCAGGUAAUGCUGGGCACUCUGCAAAGACUGCCGGUGAUAAACCGGAGGAAGGUGGGGAUGACGUCAAGUCAGCAUGGCCUUUAUGUCUGGGGCUACACACGUGCUACAAUGGCCGAUACAAACCGUCGCGAGCCCGUAAGGGGGAGCUAAUCGGAGAAAGUCGGUCUCAGUUCGGAUAGCAGGCUGCAACUCGCCUGCUUGAAGUUGGAAUCGCUAGUAAUCGCGGAUCAGCACGCCGCGGUGAAUACGUUCCCGGGCCUU
rnacentral:rRNA from 1 species